rnacentral:rRNA from 1 species
UACGUAGGGGGCAAGCGUUGUCCGGAAUCAUUGGGCGUAAAGAGCGUGUAGGCGGCUCGGUAAGUCCGCUGUGAAAGUCCAGGGCUCAACCCUGGAAUGCCGGUGGAAACUGCCGGGCUAGAGUCCGGAAGAGGCGAGUGGAAUUCCUGGUGUAGCGGUGAAAUGCGCAGAUAUCAGGAGGAACACCAAUGGCGAAGACAGCUCGCUGGGACGGUACUGACGCUGAGACGCGAAAGCGUGGGGAGCAAACAGG